rnacentral:rRNA from 1 species
UACGGGGGGGGCAAGCGUUGUUCGGAAUUACUGGGCGUAAAGGGCUCGUAGGUGGCCUGCUAAGUCAGACGUGAAAUCCCUCGGCUCAACCGGGGAACUGCGUCUGAGACUGGCGGGCUCGAGGACAGGAGAGGAACGCGGAAUUCCAGGUGUAGCGGUGAAAUGCGUAGAUAUCUGGAGGAACACCGGUGGCGAAGGCGGCGUUCUGGACUGUUUCUGACACUGAGGAACGAAAGCCAGGGGAGCAAACGGG